GACGGAGGGUGCAAGCGUUGUUCGGAUUUACUGGGCGUAAAGCGUGUUCAGGCGGUCUAGCAAGUCGGGCAUGAAAUCUCUCGGCUCAACCGGGAGGGGUUGUCCGAUACUGCUGGGCUUGAGGGCAGCAGAGGGUGGUGGAAUUCCGGGUGUAGUGGUGAAAUGCGUAGAUAUCCGGAGGAACACCAGUGGCGAAGGCGGCCACCUGGGCUGUACCUGACGCUCCAACACGAAAGCUAGGGGAGCGAACGGG
rnacentral:rRNA from 1 species